rnacentral:rRNA from 1 species
UACGUAGGGGGCAAGCGUUGUCCGGAUUUACUGGGCGUAAAGAGCGUGUAGGCGGCCAAACAGGUCCGUUGUGAAAACUGGAGGCUCAACCUCCAGACGUCGACGGAAACCGUGUGGCUAGAGUCCGGAAGAGGAGAGUGGAAUUCCUGGUGUAGCGGUGAAAUGCGCAGAUAUCAGGAAGAACACCAAUGGCGAAGGCAGCCCCCUGGGCUAACACUGACGCUCAUGCACGAAAGCGUGGGGAGCAAACAGG